AUUGAACGCUGGCGGCAGGCUUAACACAUGCAAGUCGAACGAGUGGCGGACGGGUGUGUCAUGCUUGGGAACCUAGCUUAUGGAGGGGGAUAACUACGGGAAACCGUAGCGAAUACCGCGUACCAUAGGUAGAGCCCAAGUUGGGUUAGGUAGUUGGUGAGGUAAAGGCUCACCAAGCCGACGAUCCCUAGCUGGGCUGAGAGGAUGACAAGCCACACUGGGACUGAGAAGAGGCCCAGGCUCCUACGGGAGGCAGCGGUGAGGAAUAUUGCGCAAGGGGGGCGACCUGACGCAGCCAUGCCGCGUGAAUGAAGAAGGCCUUCGGGUUGUAAAGUUCUUUCGGUAGCGAGGCGUUAGCUUCAGAAGAAGCACCGGCUAACUCCGUGCCAGCAGCCGCGGUAAUUC
rnacentral:rRNA from 1 species